rnacentral:lncRNA from 10 species
UUCAUACGUCUGUUGGCUGCAUAAACGUCCUCUUUUGAGAAGUGUCUGUUUAUAUCCUUUUACAUAUUUUCUAUCUCAUAUUUCUGUGGUGCAUUCUAGAUAGUUUCUGCAUCUCUAUCUUAUAAUUUAGUAACUCAUCUUCAAGUUGUACAUGAUCUAAACUUUUAGGCUAUUGGUUUUGACAGACAUAUGGCUUCUGUUUGGUUCUUUCUCAAAUAUGCCUGCUUCUUAUUCACUGUUCAUGUCUUUUUAUUAUUUCCUUUUGUAAUGCCUUUAAUCAUUUCAGAUGUUUUUGUAAUUUUCACCUACAGUUUGACUCUCUUAAAUUAUCCAAAUUCUAAUCUGUUGUUACUUUGCCUGCUCACUGUUUACCCAUGACAUGCUGGCACUAGACCCAUGUGCUGUGUGCUUGUGUAUUUCAUCAUUUUUAAUGGAUGUAUGAUUUACACAGUAAAAGGAAUAGAACUUACAGUUUUCUGAGUUUUAAUAAAUCAGCAAACCUGCAACCAUCAUUAUUUAAGAAAUUUUCUUUACAAACAGCCCCAAUUAACUGCUACCCAGAGAUUUCCAUGACUACAAUCAUAAUACUGCUCCAUUCCUCCAUCUUUUUAUGACUUAAGUGAACUGACAAAGACAUUAGUUACUAUGCUUGAAGGAAGCCUCCCAGUUCUGAUUCAGCAGAGCAUUACCCGCCAAGAUGGUGGUGAAGCCUUUUCUUACCUUCUCAGACCAUGCCAAACUGUUGGAUAGGACUUUAAUCUGUGUGCUAAUUCUGACAGCAACGCCUGUGGCAGCAAAGGCUGGAGUCUAAUGGCACAAUCUCCACUCACUGCAACCUCCACCUCCUGGGUUCAAGCAAUUCUCCCUGUCUCAGCCUCCCGAGUAGCUGGGAUUACAGGCACACAUCACCAGGCCCAGCUAAUUUUGUAUUUUUAGUAGAGACGGGGUUUCACUAUGUUGGCCAGGCUGGUCUUGAACUCCCAACCUCAGGUGAUCCGCCCGUCUCUGCUUCCCAAAGUGCUCGGAUUACAGGCGUGAGCCACUGCGCCCGGCCCGGAUAUGUUUAACUUUGUAAGAAACUGCCAGAUUGCCUUCCAAAGAUGCGGUAUCAUUUUGUAUUUACAUUACCAAUAAAUGAGAGUUCUUGUUUUUCCAUAUCUGCAUUGGCAUUUGAGGUUGCCAAUUUUUGGUUUUUAGCCAUUCUAAUAGGUGUGUAGUGGUGUCCCAGUGUUGCUUUAAUUUGUAAACUUCUAGUGACAUAUGAUGUUGAGCAUGCUUUCAUAUGCUUAUGUGCCAUCUGUAUAUUUGUUUGGUGAGGUGUAUGUUCUUAUCUUUUCCUCACUAUUAUCUGAUUUGUUCAUUUUCUUUAUUGUUACAUUUUUAUAUUUAUUUGUAU